UACAGAGGUCUCAAGCGUUGUUCGGAUUCAUUGGGCGUAAAGGGUGCGUAGGCGGCGCGGUAAGUCGGGGUGUGAAAUCUUGGAGCUUAACUCCGAAACUGCAUUCGAUACUGCCGUGCUUGAGGACUGGAGAGGAGACCGGAAUUUACGGUGUAGCGGUGAAAUGCGUAGAUAUCGUAAGGAAGACCAGGUGGCGAAGGCGGGUCUCUGGACAGUUCCUGACGGCU
rnacentral:rRNA from 1 species